rnacentral:rRNA from 1 species
UACAGAGGGUGCAAGCGUUAAUCGGAAUUACUGGGCGUAAAGCGUGCGCAGUCGGUUAUUUAAGUCGGGCGUGAAAGCCCCGGGCUCAACCUGGGAAUUGCGUUCGAUACUGGAUAGCUAGAGUUUGGGAGAGGGAUGCGGAAUUCCAGGUGUAGCGGUGAAAUGCGUAGAUAUCUGGAGGAACACCGGUGGCGAAGGCGGCAUCCUGGACCAACACUGACGCUGAGGAGCGAAAGCCAGGGGAGCAAACGGG